AGCUGAGUGGCGCAGCGGAAGCGCGCCGGGCUGUUCGUAAUCACUCUAUCUGCUCUUGAUUAUCACUUCUAACAUCGCUGCAGCAUAACCCGGAGGGCAAUGGAUCGAAACCAUUCUCAGCUA